rnacentral:rRNA from 1 species
ACCCGCACAAGCGGUGGAUGAUGUGGUUUAAUUCGAUGCAACGCGAAAACCUUACCCACCUUUGACAUGUACGGAAUCCUUUAGAGAUAGAGGAGUGCUCGAAAGAGAGCCGUAACACAGGUGCUGCAUGGCUGUCGUCAGCUCGUGUCGUGAGAUGUUGGGUUAAGUCCCGCAACGAGCGCAACCCUUGUCAUUAGUUGCUACGAAAGGGCACUCUAAUGAGACUGCCGGUGACGAACCGGAGGAAGGUGGGGAUGACGUCAAGUCCUCAUGGCCCUUAUAGGUGGGGCUACACACGUCAUACAAUGGCUGGUACAAAGGGUUGCCAACCCGCGAGGGGGAGCCAAUCCCAUAAAGCCAGUCGUAGUCCGGAUCGCAGUCUGCAACUCGACUGCGUGAAGUCGGAAUCGCUAGUAAUCGUGGAUCAGCAUGUCACGGUGAAUACGUUCCCGGGUCUU